rnacentral:rRNA from 1 species
CCUACGGGUGGCUGCAGUGGGGAAUAUUGCACAAUGGGGGAUACCGUGAUGCAGCGACGCCGCGUGAAUGAAGAAGGAUCUCGGUACGUAAAGCUCUAUCGGCAGGGAAGAUAAUGACGGUAACUGACCAAGAAUCUACGGCUAACUACUGGACAGCAGCCGCGGAAAUACGUAGGGGGCACGCGUUCUCCGGAUUUACUGGGGGAAAAGGUACCGUAGACGGCAGCAAAAGUCUGGAGUGAAAGCCGGGGUUUAACCCCUGAACUGCUAUUGAAACUGUAAGGCUGGAGUGGAGGAGGGGUAAGCAGAAUUCCGAGUGUAGCGGUGAAAUGCGUAGAUAUUAGGAGGAACACCGGUGGCGAAGGCGGCUUACUGGAUUGUAACUGACGUUGAGGCGCGAAAGCGUGGGGAGCAAACAGGAUUAGAUACCCGAGUAGUC